GCCGGGCGUGGUGGUGCACGCCUGUAAUCCCAGGGGCUUGGGAGGCUGAGACAGGAGGAUGGAGGGUUCAAAGCUAACCUCAGCAAAGGUGAGGUGCUAAGUAAAUCAGUGAGACUCUGUCUCUA
rnacentral:sRNA from 1 species